UAAGGAGGGGGCAAGCGUUAUUCGGAAUCAUUGGGCGUAAAGGGCGCGUAGGCGGCUAGGCAAGUAAGGGGUGAAAUCCCUCGGCUCAACCGAGGAAUUGCCUCUGAAACUGCCCAGCUCGAGGCCGGGAGAGGGUAGUGGAAUUCCCAGUGUAGCGGUGAAAUGCGUAGAUAUUGGGAGGAACACCAGUCGCGAAGUCGGCUACCUGGACCGGUUAUGACGCUGAGGCGCGAAAGCGUGGGGAGCAUACAGG
rnacentral:rRNA from 1 species